UACGGAGGGUGCAAGCGUUAUCCGGAUUUACUGGGUUUAAAGGGUGCGUAGGCGGACAGGUAAGUCAGUGGUGAAAACCCCGAGUUCAACUUGGGAACUGCCGUUGAUACUAUCUGUCUUGAAUACCGUGGAGGUGAGCGGAAUAUGUCAUGUAGCGGUGAAAUGCUUAGAUAUGACAUAGAACACCGAUUGCGAAGGCAGCUCACUACGCGGUCAUUGACGCUGAGGCACGAAAGCGUGGGGAGCAAACAGG
rnacentral:rRNA from 1 species